rnacentral:rRNA from 1 species
AUUGAACGCUGGCGGCAGGCCUAACACAUGCAAGUCGAACGGUAACAGGAAGAAGCUUGCUUCUUUGCUGACGAGUGGCGGACGGGUGAGUAAUGUCUGGGAAACUGCCUGAUGGAGGGGGAUAACUACUGGAAACGGUAGCUAUUACCGCAUAACGUCGCAAGACCAAAGAGGGGGACCUUCGGGCCCCUUGCCAUCGGAUGUGCCCAGAUGGGAUUAGCUAGUAGGUGGGGUAACGGCUCACCUAGGCGACGAUCCCUAGCUGGUCUGAGAGGAUGACCAGCCACACUGGAACUGAGACACGGUCCAGACUCCUACGGGAGGCAGCAGUGGGGAAUAUUGCACAAUGGGCGCAAGCCUGAUGCAGCCAUGCCGCGUGUAUGAAGAAGGCCUUCGGGUUGUAAAGUACUUUCAGCGGGGAGGAAGGGAGUAAAGUUAAUACCUUUGCUCAUUGACGUUACCCGCAGAAGAAGCACCGGCUAACUCCGUG